UCCACCUGAGCCAGGUAGGGUGGGACUGGGGUGAGUUCUCCCCGGCAGGUAGGAAACCAGGAGUUUCUCAGCUUUCACUGAGCAUCAGAGCUUCCGAGGAGCUUACAGAUAUCCUGGUACCCAGGUUCCACCCGAGAUCAAUGAAAUCAGCCCGUGCAGGUGGGGCCGUGGCCCAUGCCCCAGGUGAUUACAAUGUAUGCCUCCAGCUGAGGCCCACUGGAUUGCAGGAUGAACGCUGGGAGAGUGCGUGUGAAGCUUGGUGUGGACGAUACGAGAAAGGAGAGCAGUCCUGCCUGGCACUACGUUGGAAGUCAACUAAGUGGGAACGCGGAAUGUGGCCUGCAGAGUCUGCCUGGGGCGAGGGGCCCAAUAGGGUCCAACAUGGGGAUCAAGAGUGGCCAGCAGGAAGGCACUAUUAACUUGAUGUUAUCAUUUGACUGUGUUAAAACACAAGGAAGCUCUAUGCCCAGUGUGGGGCUUGAACUCAGAACCCCAAGAUCAAGAGUCACGUGCUCUACCGACUGAGCCAGCCAAGCGUCCCUAGAGAGUUUUGAGAGUGUCAUGUUCAAGAUCAAAUUGGCUUUAUUAAGCGAAUCGGGAAUCGGGAAUCGGGAAGCAUCUAACAGGGUUUCUGUUCCUUGGUCAUGGUUCCCUGGCUGUCCGCAGCAGAUUCUCAGCGAUGAUUCACACCAAAGGAAGGAAUGACCUGGUGAAACAGGGAUGAGAAGUCUUUCGACCAAAGAGGUCACACACUCCUGGCUCCAGCCCAAAGUUGAGGAAUAAUAUGUUGCUUUUUGGCUUUUUGCGUUCCAACCUUUCUUCUGGCUGCAAGCUUGUGACACACUGUAUGCCUCUAUAAUAGGGGAUUGUACUAUUAUUGCCCAAUUAAAAUUCAUUACACUCA